UACAGAGGGGGCAAGCGUUGUUCGGAUUCAUUGGGCGUAAAGCGCGCGUAGGCGGCUCGACAAGUCGGCCGUGAAAUCUCCAGGCUCAACUUGGAGGGGUCGGGCGAGACUGUCGGGCUCGAGGUGGGCAGAGGGCAGUGGAAUUCCGGGUGUAGUGGUGGAAUGCGUAGAGAUCCGGAGGAACACCAGUGGCGAAGGCGGCUGCCUGGGCCUGGCCUGACGCUGAGGCGCGAAAGCGUGGGGAGCGAUCCGG
rnacentral:rRNA from 1 species